CCUACGGGUGGCUGCAGUGGGGAAUAUUGGGCAAUGGAGGCAACUCUUACCCAGCAAUGCCGCGUGAAUGAAGAAGGUCUUCGGAUUGUUAAGUCCUUUAUUUGGGGACGAAAAAAAUGACGGUAGCCAAGGAAUAAGCCUCGGCUAACUACGUGCCAGCAGCAGCGGCAAUACGUCGGGGGCAAGCGUUGUUCGGAUUGACUGGUCGUAAAGGGUGUGUAGGGGGAGUGGCAAGUGAGAGGUGAAAUACCUAGGGCUUAACUCAGGUGCUGCUUCUAAAACUGCGAUACUUGAGUGCGGUAGAGGAAGGUGGAAUUCCUAGUGUAGCGGUGGAAUGCGUAGAUAUUAGGAGGAACGUCGAUGGCGAAGGCGACUUUCUGGAGUGUAACUGACGCUGAGGCACGAAAGUGUGGGGAGCGAACAGGAUUAGAUACCCGGGUAGUC
rnacentral:rRNA from 1 species